AUUGAACGCUGGCGGCAGGCCUAACACAUGCAAGUCGAGCGAGCGGCGGGCGGGUGAGUAAUGCCGGGGAAUUCCCCAGUUGGGGGGGAUAACAGUUGGAGACUACUGUUAAUCCCGCAUACGCUUGGAUUCCCCAGGUGGGUUUCGCUUGUUGGUGGGGUAAUGGCUCACCAAGGUGACGAUCCCUAGUUGGUCUGCGAGGAUGAUCAGCAACACUGGAACUGAGACACGGUCCAGACUCCUACGGGAGGCAGCAGUGGGGAAUAUUGCACAAUGGGCGAAACCCUGAUGCAGCCAUGCCGCGUGUAUGAAGAAGGCCUUCGGGUUGUAAAGCACUUUCAGCGAGGAGGCGUUACUCGCAGAAGAAGCACCGGCUAACUCCGUGCCAGCAGCCGCGGUAAUAC
rnacentral:rRNA from 1 species